AUUGAACGCUGGCGGCAUGCUUUACACAUGCAAGUCGAACGGCAGCACGGGGGCAACCCUGGUGGCGAGUGGCGAACGGGUGAGUAAUAUAUCGGAACGUACCCGGAAAUGGGGGAUAACGUAGCGAAAGUUACGCUAAUACCGCAUAUGCCCUAAGGGGGAAAGCGGGGGAUUCGCAAGAACCUCGCGUUUUCGGAGCGGCCGAUAUCGGAUUAGCUAGUAGGUGAGGUAAAGGCUCACCUAGGCGACGAUCCGUAGCUGGUCUGAGAGGACGACCAGCCACACUGGAACUGAGACACGGUCCAGACUCCUACGGAGGCAGCAGUGGGGAAUUUUGGACAAUGGGCGCAAGCCUGAUCCAGCCAUGCCGCGUGAGUGAAGAAGGCCUUCGGUUGGUAAAGCGUCUUUCAGCCGGAAGAAACGCACGGGUAAUAACCUGUGUGGAUGAC
rnacentral:rRNA from 1 species